CCUACGGGUGGCAGCAGUGGGGAAUAUUGGACAAUGGGGGGAACCCUGAUCCAGCCAUGCCGCGUGUGUGAAGAAGGCCCUCGGGUUGUAAAGCACUUUCAGUGAGGAAGAACGCCUGGUGGUUAAUACCCAUCAGGAAAGACAUCACUCACAGAAGAAGCACCGGCUAACUCCGUGCCAGCAGCCGCGGUAAUACGGAGGGUGCGAGCGUUAAUCGGAAUUACUGGGCGUAAAGCGCGCGUAGGUGGCUUGAUAAGCCGGUUGUGAAAGCCCCGGGCUCAACCUGGGAACGGCAUCCGGAACUGUCAAGCUAGAGUGCAGGAGAGGAAGGUAGAAUUCCCGGUGUAGCGGUGAAACGCGUAGAGAUCGGGAGGAAUACCAGUGGCGAAGGCGGCCUUCUGGACUGACACUGACACUGAGGUGCGAAAGCGUGGGUAGCAAACAGGAUUAGAUACCCGGGUAGUC
rnacentral:rRNA from 1 species